rnacentral:rRNA from 1 species
AUGGAGGUCGCUGCUGGGGCGAUGGGCCCCGUCAUCCGUAAGCUCGGCGAGCUGCUCGUCGGAGAAUACAACCUAGAGAAGCGAGUAAAGAAAGGCGUACAAUCGCUCCUAAACGAGCUGGAGAUGAUGCACGCUGUACUUCGCAAGGUUGGCGAGGUGCCGUCGGAACAGCUCGAUGAGCCGGUCCGGAUUUGGGCUGGCAAGGUGAGAGACCUGUCUUGCGACAUGGAAGACGCUGUUGACGACUUCAUGGUGCGUGUGCAUGAGGGUUCAAGCAGCAAGCCUACGAACAUGAGGAAUCAAGUCAAGAAGUUUCUCAAGAAGACCACCAAACUGUUUGGCAAGGGCAAAGCACUUCAUCAAAUCAGUGAUGCCAUCAAAGAAGCUCAGGAUCUCGCCAAGGAGUUGGCGGACCUGCGUAGAAGGUACGAGCUUGACACUCGUAGCACUAGCAAUGGUGCUACCAUUGACCCUCGUGUGUUAGCUCUGCACAAAGAUGUAGGGGAGCUUGUUGGCGUUGACCGCACAAGGGAUGAGCUUAUCAAAACACUGAUUUGUGAGGAUGGGAGUUCUAAGGAGCAAUUGAAGACGAUCUCUAUUGUUGGUGUUGGUGGGCUGGGCAAGACUACACUCACCAAAGCAAUUUAUGAGAAGAUCAAAGCCCAGUUUGAAUGUGCGGCUUUUGUCCCUGUAGGGCAGAACCCUGAUAUCAAGAAAGUUUUCAAGGACUUACUCUAUGACCUGAACAAAGAAAAGUUCAAUGACAUUCAUAAUACAUCAAAGGAUGAAAAUCUCCUCAUCAAGGAAAUCAGAGAAUUCCUUGUGGAUAAGAGGUACCUUAUUGUAAUUGAUGAUAUAUGGGAAGAAGAAAUAUGGAGAUAUAUAAAUUGUGCUUUGUAUAAAAACAAACUCCAUAGUAGGGUAAUCACAACAACCCGCAAUGUGAGUGUGUCUGAAGCAUGUCUCUCUUCCAGUGAUGACAUGAUUCACAAAAUGAAACCUCUUUCUGAUGAAGACUCACAAAUACUCUUCCAUAGAAGAAUAUUUCAAAGCGAGGAGAAAUGUCCAGAAGAUUUGCAAGCAGUAUCAAGAGAGAUAUUGAAGAAAUGUGGUGGUGUACCAUUAGCCAUCAUUACAAUAGCUAGCCUUCUAGUCAGUAACCAAAGGAUAAAGCAGAAAGAAGAAUGGAUGCAUGUGCACAGUUCGAUGGGCCGUGGAGUUACAGAAGGUGGUAUUGUGAAGGACAUGAAGAGGAUAUUAUCACUCAGCUAUUAUGAUUUGCCAUCCCAUCUGAAGCCAUGUUUAUUAUAUCUAAGCAUCUUUCCUGAAGACUUUGAGAUUAAGAGAGAUUUGUUGAUAUGGAGGUGGCUUGCUGAAGGGUUUAUCCAAUGUGACAAAGAAGAAACCAGGCUGUUUGAGAUAGGAAAGAGCUACUUCAACGAGCUUAUGAACAGGAGCUUGAUCCAGCCAGCACAAAUCAAUUUGGAAGGAACGGUAGUAACUUGUCGUAUACAUGAUAUGGUGCUUGAUCUUAUAUGCUCACUGUCAAGUGAGGAGAAUUUUAUCUCCAUAUUGGAUAAUGCUGAGUGGCAUGCACCUAAUCUGCAAAGUGAGCUAUGCCAAGGGUUCAACACCUUGACUUCGAGGUCUCUGCGCCGUCGAUCGCAAGUGGUGAGGUUGACUGCGGCCUGGGGCACCUCCCUUCUCUUGAGCGUGUUCAGGUUUGUCUGGAGCGUGAGAAUUCCAGCCAUGAUGAGAUGGAGACAUCCAAGGCUUGGCUGA